AUUAGAUGAUACUAUCCUACUUGGAUAACUGCAGAAAAGCUGGAGCUAAUACAUGCAAUUAAGCUUGAACGCAAGAACAAGCGCAUUUAUUAGAAGCUAAACCAAUCGGGCUUCGGCCUGACGUUUGGUGAAUCUGACUAACUCUGCUGAUCGCACGAUCUCGCAUCGGCGACGUAUCUUUCAAAUGUCUGCUUUAUCAACUUUCGAUGGUAGUUUAUACGACUACCAUGGUUGUAACGGAUAACGGAGAAUUAGGGUUCGACUCCGGAGAGGGAGCCUGAGAAACGGCUACCACAUCCAAGGAAAGGCAGCAGGCACGCAAAAUUACCCAAUCCCGGCACGGGGGAGGUAGUGACGAAAAAUAACGAGGCAGUCCUCUUUGGAGGUCUGCCAUCGGAAUGGGAACAAUUUAAAAUCCUUUUAUCGAGGAUCUAUUGGGANGGGCAAGUCUGGUGGCCAGCAGCCGCGGGNAAUUCCAGC
rnacentral:rRNA from 1 species